rnacentral:rRNA from 1 species
AUUGAACGCUGGCGGCAGGCCUAACACAUGCAAGUCGAGCGGAUGAGAAGAGCUUGCUCUUCGAGUUAGCGGCGGACGGGUGAGUAAUGCCUAGGAAUCUGCCUGUUAGUGGGGGACAACGUUUCGAAAGGAACGCUAAUACCGCAUACGUCCUACGGGCGAAAGCAGGGGACCUUCGGGCCUUGCGCUAUCAGAUGAGCCUAGGUCGGAUUAGCUAGUUGGUGAGGUAAUGGCUCACCAAGGCGACGAUCCGUAACUGGUCUGAGAGGAUGAGCAGUCACACUGGAACUGAGACACGGUCCAGACUCCUACGGGAGGCAGCAGUGGGGAAUAUUGGACAAUGGGCGAAAGCCUGAUCCAGCCAUGCCGCGUGUGUGAAGAAGGUAUUCGGAUUGUAAAGCACUUUAAGUUGGGAGGAAGGGCAGUAAGCGAAUACCUUGCUGUUUUGACGUUACCGACAGAAUAAGCACCGGCUAACUCUGUGCCAGCCGCCGCAGUAAAAC